CUGUGCAGUUCCUUGCACGAUGGGGCUACUGUCAUGCAAUUCAUGGCACAACAGCUAAUGUCGUGUGUGUGUGUGUGUGUGUGUGUGUGUGUGUGUGUUUAGACAGAUGAGCUACUCUCGGUAGACACAUCAUUCUAAUACAGAGAAAAGAUGGAGAAGGGGUGUCAAUCAGUUAUAUUUGCAAGGGUUAGCAGGGAGCAUCAGAAUCCCUGAAUGACAAAGUAAAUGCAGGAGUGUUGUUAUGUCUGCAGCAGGUCAGACUCUUGCUCACACUGUACAGUGUUUAUUCUUGUGAACGCCGUUGGAGUGCUCAUAUAAGGACUACUCGGCACGAGUAAGUGUUGCAGAGCCGGCCCCGUGGUCCACGCAUGAAGUCAUGUGUUAUUUAAAAAUAAAGCAGGCUCUGUGCCCUACUGAGAGAAGAACGGACUUCUACGAAUGUACGUGGACGUAGCUGGUCAGAGGAGGGCCCAAUUUUCAGCCUUGGGAGCAGCAACCAUUCCUGAAUUUGGAGUGUGGUGCUGGGCACCCUCGACUCCCACUCCCUUCUAUGGAGCUAAGAGUACACAGCACGUCCCAGGAGGUGCUCAGCGCCUUGCGGGGUCGGGCCGUCGGGCACUGAAUCAACACAGAUAUAUACCAGUCUUUGGAACGGCCGGGGAACUUUACAGCAGGGAGUGGAAUGUUGCACGCAGCCAUUGAUGAAGCGAGCCAGUGCCUCUGCAAAGAAUCAAAGCAGUACAAAGUCUUUUAAUCUGAUACCAUGCGAAGAGCUGAUGUAAAGAGCUGCACAGAAUGCUCCAUUUGCAGCACAGGGCAGAAGGAAGUUUUAUUGGUCCUACAGAACUCUGGAACAAUGCUGCACAUUCUUAUGCGUCAUCUACUGGUACCUUAUCUACUAACUAACUAAUUUACAGAUAUCUCUUUUAUAUAGCACCCCUGUAACGGUUUGGAACUGGCCUCAAAGCCUGCAAACUACAUCCCCUGGAGCCCUUCAGCCAGCCCCCUGUCCCCAGCCUAGUGCUCAAGAGAGCAUUCGGCUGGAAUCCAUGGGGGAAAAUGAAGCUCCUGGGCUCGGUUGCCCUCUAUCCUUUUCCCCUCCAGCCACUCCACACACGCACAAAGCAGAGCAAGAUUUUACUCUAACUAAACUUCAGUAAAUCUCUUGUCAUUUUUCACUGCUUAAUUGCUGCCUUUCCCCAAAUUGCCAGUUUUGUUUCCUGCCAAAAAAAAAAUGGUACUUUUUUCCCCUUUCUGCGAGAUCACAGUUAUAAUGACCCAAUUAUAGUGAUUAUCCCUUAAUAGCCUGCCAGCAGCCAUUAUAGAGCUCUGAGUUUUUCAUGAGAUAAUCACAGCCCUGGGGAAUUUGAGACAUUCAGCUGCUCUUCUAGCCAUGUAAACAUCCUCCAGGGCUGUUGGUUAUUUCCUGGCCUUCACCAGGAUCCUGUCAGAGGAUCGCCUUGGGCAACUUUCAAAAUGGGAGUUUUACCCUGUGCCUCCUCACCUGGAGCCUCCUCCAACUCCUACUGAAGUCAGUGGAAGUCAGGAUGGAAACAGGACCCAAGCACCAUUGUUCCCAAUGAUUGAUCCAUAGACCAGUUUUGGUAGAUCAGGCUUUUGUGAUGGGUGAUAGGCUCACCUCCUUGCUGUUGGACUCCACUGCAUUGUCACUGCCCACCUCCCAUUCAUUUCUAACCAGCCC
ensembl:lncRNA